GUAAUUUGUCCAAUACACAAAUUCUUUCUGUUCAAUGAUUACAGGGGAAAAUAGGGAGAAUAGGUCACAACGAAAAUAAACGCCAUUUCCCGACUUUGUUAUGAGGUUGAUACCUCUGAAAAAACCAUGAUCACUUUCCAAAUAUUCCCGAGAUA